rnacentral:rRNA from 1 species
GUGGGGGAUAACCAUUGGAAACGAUGGCUAAUACCGCAUGAUGCCUACGGGCCAAAGAGGGGGACCUUCGGGCCUCUCGCGUCAGGAUAUGCCUAGGUGGGAUUAGCUAGUUGGUGAGGUAAGGGCUCACCAAGGCGACGAUCCCUAGCUGGUCUGAGAGGAUGAUCAGCCACACUGGAACUGAGACACGGUCCAGACUCCUACGGGAGGCAG